CCUACGGGAGGCAGCAGUGGGGAAUAUUGCACAAUGGGGGAAACCCUGAUGCAGCGACGCCGCGUGAGUGAAGAAGUAUCUCGGUACGUAAAGCUCUAUCAGCAGGGAAGAAAAUGACGGUACCUGACUAAGAAGCCCCGGCUAACUACGUGCCAGCAGCCGCGGUAAUACGUAGGGGGCAAGCGUUAUCCGGAUUGACUGGGUGGAAAGGGAGCGUAGACGGCAGCACAAGUCUGGAGUGAAAUCCCGGGGCUUAACCCCGGAACUGCUUUGGAAACUGUGCGGCUGGAGUGCAGGAGGGGUAAGCAGAAUUCCUAGUGUAGCGGUGAAAUGCGUAGAGAUGAGGAGGAACACCGGUGGCGAAGGCGGCUUACUGGACUGUAACUGACGUUGAGGCGCGAAAGCGUGGGGAGCAAACAGGAUUAGAUACCCUUGUAGUC
rnacentral:rRNA from 1 species